UGUAUAUACAAUAUUUCAUAGCGUGGCUAGAAAACUUGGUCUACGUUGCGAUCUAAUAGAUAUUUGGUCUGGCUGCUGUAUAUUUUGGAAACCAGAAUUCGUCACGAAUAAUUUAGAAAAUGCAAGAUGUUUUUACAUAAAAGACGAGAAAUUCCCGAAUUGUCAUCAUGAUUGUCUAGAAGAAUACGAGUCUUAUAACACAUAUAAUGACGUCAACAAAAUAGAAACUGAACAGAUCUGGUCCAUGAUAAGAGAUUUAAUUAGAAAAUUUAUAAAAGAACAUAAAAUAUUCUAUUUGGGAUUAGUCGAAGUGAAUUGUAUAAUGUAAAAACAUACGCGCACUAAUAUAAUCGCAUAUUAGUAUAUAACAUGCACCAUUGUAAAAAUAAAGAGCUUUGUGAG